UACGUAGGGUGCAAGCGUUAAUCGGAAUUACUGGGCGUAAAGCGUGCGCAGGCGGUUGUGUAAGACAGAUGUGAAAUCCCCGGGCUCAACCUGGGAACUGCAUUUGUGACUGCACAGCUGGAGUGUGGCAGAGGAAGGUGGAAUUCCACGUGUAGCGGUGAAAUGCGUAGAGAUGUGGAGGAACACCAAUGGCGAAGGCAGCCUUCUGGGCCAACACUGACGCUCAUGCACGAAAGCGUGGGGAGCAAACAGG
rnacentral:rRNA from 1 species